rnacentral:rRNA from 1 species
UACGUAGGUGGCAAGCGUUGUCCGGAUUUAUUGGGUUUAAAGGGUGCGUAGGCGGCCCUGUAAGUCAGUGCUGAAAUAUCCCAGCUUAACUGGGAGGGUGGCAUUGAUACUGCGGGGCUAGAGUACAGAUGAGGUAGGCGGAAUUGACGGUGUAGCGGUGGAAUGCGUAGAGAUCCGGAAGAACACCGGAGGCGAAGGCGGCUUGCUGGGCUCGGUCUGACGCUGAGGCGCGAAAGCGUGGGGAGCGAACAGG